rnacentral:rRNA from 1 species
CAAUAGCGUAUAUUAAAGUUGUUGCGGUUAAAAAGCUCGUAGUUGGAUUUCUGUGGAAGAACGGCGGUCCCGACUCAGUCGGAGUAUCUGCUCGCGCUUCUGCAUCCUCCUAGGGAACGUACUGCUCUUCACUGAGUGAUGCGGUAUCUAGGACUUUUACUUUGAGGAAAUUAGAGUGUUUACGGCAGGCAAUCGCCUUGAAUAUGUUAGCAUGGAAUAAUAACAUAAGACUUUUUGUCUAUUUUGUUGGUUUCUAGACGGAAAGUAAUGAUUAAUAGGGAUAUUUGGGGGUCUUCGUAUUAUCAGGUCAGAGGUGGAAUUCUUAGAUUCUGAUACGACGAACUACUGCGAAAGCAUUGACCAAGGAUGUCUUCAUUGA